rnacentral:ncRNA from 1 species
CACUGAUCGACAACGCAAUGAGCAAGAAGCCACAGGUGGUACAGAUCGAGCCAACCGACAAGGCGUUCAAGACGAAUGGCUGUCAGCCCUGGCAGAUCGCCCCGCCGGGCGACGGCAACGUGCCCGGCGACCUUCCAGGACCAGUCGCCGGGGCCCAGCUGCAAGCGAAUCUCGGCAUUCUCAACGGACUGCUCGGUCAGGUCGGACAGCAAGUA